rnacentral:lncRNA from 1 species
CUGCAUAACUUGAUUCUUCCAAACUUUUCCCCUUGUGGGGGUGGAGCAACAGUGUAGCAGAAGUUUACCAAGUUAUUAAGUGGGACUUCUAGAAUGGCUACAUCUGCACAGUAGCAAUCCCAUGUACCCAAACAAUCAGAUCGGAUUUGCAAUAAGCACCCGAAAACAAAAAGCGCCGAUCCACACUGUGAUUUCAGCAGCCCGUUAAAACCAGAAGGCGGAAGGAAAGCAGAGUGAAAGUGCAGCUCUAAAAGCUGAUAGAAAGGACUGGCAGAUGACGCAACGUACGUGUUGCGACCUGCACAGUUGUUGGCUAGCUGUCAAGUGUCACCCUGUACCCACAAUCCUCCUCGUGUAGUACACACGCUGCUUUACUCUUUGAAUUGACAAAGGGGUACCGUUCUUUGUGUAUUUUUAGGAUGACGUUGUAACUUGAAAAAAAAGGUGUUUAUUUUUUUGAAUCCAGACCAUGUAUUUUUGUGUCUUACUGUUGAGUACAUUGCUCUUACCUGUAAAAGUCAUGGUAGUCUGAUGCUGUGCUUCUCCAUCGUGUCCUCAAACUGUCAGGCUUUUGAUCCGAGUUCAUGUUUUGUAUGUUUUACUGUGAGGAAAAAUCUAGUUUGAAGUCUGUAUUUGUGGAGCCUUUUGUUGGCAUUCUAAAGUGCAUGCUGAAAAGAACCAUUAUGUCAAAUUGUAAAAAAAAAAAAAAAAAAAAAAGAUAAUAAUUAAAAAACAAAACAGCAGAGAUGAGAUGAGGAUUGUUCUCUAACAAGAGUCCACACAUCCUGGCCCUUCAGCCAUCCUGUCCUCCACUUCACUGCUGUAAGUAUGUGGGAUACUGAUGUGUACUCCUCCAUAGUUUUCAGGUUUCAUCCUUUAUUUAGCUGCAGGAAGAGGGAUGGAGGGAGUGCUAUGCAAAUGUUCUCUCUACAAUAAAGAUGUUCGUAAUAUUUGUUUACUGGUUUCUGAAGGUUUAUAAGAUUUCACUGAUCUCUGAGCUCCAAAUAUAAAAAAAUAAUAUUAUUUUAGGCAUCAGUGUUUUUCACAGCAGCACUGGUAAUGACACAGGAA